CCUGCCAAAUCUACCUCAUUCUCGUUCCAUUUGCGUGGCAAUGCUGUCGUGUGUCAAGCAUUAACUUAGUUAAUAAUUUACUAUCAUUUUUAAAUGAGAAAAAAAUACUUCAAUCCUAGCGAUAUAGGAUUUGCCAAGAUUCUUCUAGCUAAAAGAUUAAAAUUAUUAUCUCAAAUUAAUCCGUUAUAAUAGUUCAUUCUGUAUAUGCAAAGCGAAAUUAUGACGCAACCUACGUUUAGCUGUUAUGAGUGUGACAAAGAUGGGUGCGAAGUACCAGACAUACAAAUGUCAAUUUGCAAUACUACAAUUAAUUGCUGGAAGUCUUUGCUACGAGAAUAUAAAAACAAUACGCUAUAUUCUCGUGGAUGCGUUGCUACGCUGGAAGAUAACCAACGUAUUUGUAGUAACGUAACGCAAGCAAAUGAUACCGAAAGCGUUUACAGUUGUUGUGCAGAAGAAUUCUGCAACACCGAAAAUCUUCCUGUAAUGGAACCAUUGUUCGAUGAAGUGAUAGCUGCCACGGGGAACAUUUGGGUAUUUUAUGCAUUUACAACAAUAGUCCUUAUAUUGUGGUUAUGCAUCAUCGCCGGUCUUAUAAGAAUAUGCAUUUUGAGUCACCGCCACAGGAAUAUACGCAGGCAGCGAAGAGCUGUAGAAGUGAUAGCGAUGGGAGAUAUGCCGCUAAUGAACGGUCGCGCCCAUGUCAUCCCUUAGAGGGAGCUUGAUAUUGUCAUUUCGCUAUCGCUGCGAACUGUCAACGACAGAAUAGCUCAGCUAACAUAAUUUACAUUAGUAACGUUCGUUCGUCGACUGAAAACACCUUAUUUUCAUUUAUGAUUAAUUUUCGAUAAGAUUCUUUCCAGGAAUUCCAGAACGAUGAAAGUUUGGCGAGCAGUUCGGGAUCAGGUAAUCCCGUACUGAAACAAGCUUUGACGAUAACAUUUAGUAUUUAUAGACUUAUUGACAAGCUGAAAUCUGCAGCUUGAACUUCUUAUUCUGGAAAAUAUGUCGCAUGUGCUUUGAAGACGUUGAUUCAAAAUAUAACAUCUUCUAAGCGGCUCGCAAUUGACGAACGAGGAUAAUUGAUUGCCUAUAAUCGCCGGUCUGGAAUUCCCGAUCAUUGGCACACGGAUCCGAUAUGUUGGAAAAGACAAUCUUAUUGUAGCAUUCCAAUUUCCAACUUUUGACUUUUCAGAAAAUGAAUUCAUUGGGGUUUCUAAUUUAAGUCCCUCGGCAAACGAACACUUCAGUGCACUAGCCGAUCCAACAAGUUAAGAAGACGCUUUUGAUACUUUCACAGAAUUAAUCAUUUACUUUGAUUUAAUGAUGAUUUCAUUCGAAAAACAUUUUUACGAAAAUUAUUUUUGACUUGAAACGAUUUUUGUAUAAGAUUAACAAUGAAUGUUUUUUCGAUUAACUGGUAUGUUACAACAUAUCUACAAUUUAAAUGUUGUAAAACCGAAGUACAUAUUCCAAUUUAUUAUUUGAACUAUCAUUGUCGUCUAAAUAAUGUAGAAUAUUUUGUAGAAAUCUGGAAAUAAUAAAGCUUUUAUUGUUAAAUAUAAGAAUCUAACUCG